rnacentral:rRNA from 1 species
AUUUCCCGGUUGAUCUGCGGACCCGACCGCUAUCGGGGUAAGGCUAAGCCAUGGGAGCCGAACGCCCCGCCGCUGCGGGGCGUGGCGCACGGCUGAGUAACACGUGGCUAACCUACCCUCGGGAGGGGGAUAACCCCGGGAAACUGGGGCUAAUCCCCCAUAGGCGGGGAGGCCUGGAACGGUUCCCCGCUGAAAGGGGCCGCAGGGGAUCGCCUGCGGCACCGCCCGAGGAUGGGGCUGCGGCCCAUCAUGGUAGUUGGCGGGGUAACGGCCCGCCAAGCCGACGACGGGUAGGGGCCGUGAGAGCGGGAGCCCCCAGAUGGGCACUGAGACAAGGGCCCAGGCCUUACGGGGCGCACCAGGCGCGAAAACUCCGCAAUGCGGGCAACCGUGACGGGGUUACCCCGAGUGCCCCCCUCGUGGGGGCUUUUCCCCGCUGUAAGUAGGCGGGGGAAUAAGCGGGGGGCAAGACUGGUGUCAGCCGCCGCGGUAAUACCAGCCCCGCGAGUGGUCGGGAUGUUUACUGGGCCUAAAGCGCCCGUAGCCGGCUCGACAAGUCCCCCCAUAAAGCCCCGGGCUCAACCCGGGGACCUGGGGGGAUACUGUCGGGCUAGGGGGCGGGAGAGGCCGAGGGUACUCCCGGGGUAGGGGCGAAAUCCAUUAAUCCCGGGAGGACCACCAGUGGCGAAGGCGCUCGGCUGGAACGCGCCCGACGGUGAGGGGCGAAAGCCGGGGGAGCGAACCGGAUUAGAUACCCGGGUAGUCCCGGCUGUAAACGAUGCGGGCUAGGUGUUGGGCGGGCGUGAGGGCCCACCCAGUGCCGCAGGGAAAGCCGUUAAGCCCGCCGCCUGGGGAGUACGGUCGCAAGGCUGAACCUUAAAGGAAUUGGCGGGGGAGCACCACAUGGGUGGAGCCUGCCGCUUAAUGGAGUCACGCCGGUAAUCUCU